rfam:Flammeovirga sp. MY04 chromosome 1, complete sequence.
GGGCUUAUAGCUCAGGUGGUUAGAGCGCUACACUGAUAAUGUAGAGGUCGCAGGUUCGAGUCCUGCUAAGCCCA